GCCUCCACACUCGUGCCGCCGCCGACGCCAAGCUUCCGCCAAGAACCAGGUCACCAGGAACCCAACCAAUACAGUCUUCGUCACGAAGAUGGAAGCACUCUCUGGUGGGAUGUACGAAAGCCUGGGUCGCCUAUAUCUUCAGUGAAGUAUCAUUCAGAAUCAGUUUAUGCGCAUGAUUUUCAGCAAGCUCAGAAAUGCUACAAUGACUGCUCAGAGGUUCAAGCCUUCCUCAAUUGCCAUCAGAA